AGCGAACGCUGGCGGCAGGCCUAACACAUGCAAGUCGAACGGACCCUUCGGGGUUAGUGGCGGACGGGUGAGUAACACGCGGGAACGUGCCUUUAGGUUCGGAAUAGCUCCUGGAAACGGGUGGUAAUGCCGAAUGUGCCCUUCGGGGGAAAGAUUUAUCGCCUUUAGAGCGGCCCGCGUCUGAUUAGCUAGUUGGUGGUGUAACGGACCACCAAGGCGACGAUCAGUAGCUGGUCUGAGAGGAUGAUCAGCCACAUUGGGACUGAGACACGGCCCAAACUCCUACGGGAGGCAGCAGUGGGGAAUCUUGCGCAAUGGGCGAAAGCCUGACGCAGCCAUGCCGCGUGAAUGAUGAAGAUCUUAGGAUUGUAAAAUUCUUUCACCGGGGACGAUAAUGACGGUACCCGGAGAAGAAGCCCCGGCUAACUUCGUGCCAGCCGCCGCGGUAAUAC
rnacentral:rRNA from 1 species